GCUGUAGUGGCCGAGUGGUCUAAGGCGGUAGAUUUAAGUUAAUUCCGAACUCUACUGGGGUGACCCGCGCGCGUUCGAGUAAGUUUUCCCGUGUUGAUGCC
rnacentral:tRNA from 1 species